rnacentral:lncRNA from 1 species
GUAAAAUACAUUCAUUCAUUUUUAUUAAGAAUUUAUGUGAAAAAAGACUACAACAGUAACACUCAAUAAGUUUGAGGUUAAUUUAGUCUUUAUUUUAAUAUUAAGUGAGUGGUUUUCAUGCACAAAACAACUGACAUACUGUAGAACAAUGGCUCAGGCACAAAUGUCUUGAAAUCAAGAGCAAACAUACACACAAAAGUUACUUCAAAUAAUUGAGGUAAAAU